UGGGUGAUAUGGAUCAUGUGACAGAACUAACAGACAUAUAACUCCAAUGUGAGAAAUGUCCUUUCCAUUUGUUAUGGAAAAAAAUUUAAACACUAGUGUUUGAGUGUGCACUCUCUCGUAAGGUUUGUCUUUGUACAGAACUAAGCACUUGUUUGUAUGCAUCCAUCAAUUGUGAAUGAUAAUGACCAGACAAAUAGGUUGAUUGUCCUAUUCUCAGAUGAAUUGUGUUCUGUGCCAAUGAAGAACUCAUUGGCAUGGUCGGAAGGAAUUAAUAAGCCUAAGUAGGAAUGUAUCUCCAUCCCCCCCGCCUACAGAUAUAAGUGGUUAAAAUAAUUGACCCAAUCUCAGCCUCAUAAUGUCAGUUCUUAUCUCUGCCUGAGUAGGAAUUAGUAUAUAUUCUAAAUGUCCUUAUCCAAACCUGUGGGGAUGGGAAGGAAUGGGUGCUGAGAAGCUGAGACUGAAGUAAGGAAUAUAUUUUCUUUUGAAAGUGUUCUGAAUGUAUUUCUCCUGUGCUUUAUUGUGAAUGUUGUAACAUUUUAAAACUUUUUUUUUCCCCAUAGCUCUUUGAAAUUUGGUGGUAAAGGAACCAGUGGUCUCUCUUGGGUAGUGUACCAUAGUGAGUUACUGUAACCCAGAGCUGGGUGAGAAUGCCUCACCUGCAAAUGCUCAAAACAAAACAACCACUCAAGGAAGGUUCCUCACAUUGCCACUCCUAUUUAAAUACAAACUUGGUUGCAGGGAGCGUGUUUUUUGUUCUAUACAAAAUCUAGCAGACUGUGGGUAUUCAUAUUUGAAUUACUGGGUGACAUAUAUGUUCUUGGUAGCUAAACUCAAAUUUAUCUUCUGUAUCAGUGUUACGGAUGGUUUUCAUGGAUUUCAACAUUUUCCUAAUGCUUCUUUGAGCCACUACGAGUGUCAUCUUGGGAGUGGCAACAGAGACAACACCUCUGUGACCUGACUGUUUCAUCCUCCUUUCCUCUGCUGCUCUCGUGCCCCCUCCCAACCUGUUCCUGCUUUUUGGCUUCUUAGAGGUGAAGGGCUUAAGAAGAGACUUGAGUCUCCUGUUCCCAUCUUUCCAUACAUGUACACUCUAGCUGGGAAGUUUAAAGGGCAAAGGCCACACCAGCUCUGUCUCCUCUUUCUGCCAAUGGCUGCCCAUUUGGUGUGCUGAACUUCAUGUAGAAGUCCUGCAUCAGAGGCUCUUUGCUAGUGGUUUUUGCAUGCCUUCUGCUCCCAAGCCCCUGGCUGCUUCUGCACAAACCCCAAACACUCUGUGCCUGUUUCCUAUGGUUGUGGAGAGUGAAUAAACAAGUCUAUAGAGCAGUUUUCCUUAUGGUAUCGGUCACAGUUAUCCUAGUGUCUAACUACAUCUGUAUUAUUCUAACAAUAUUCUCUAAUUAAAAGUAUUAUUUUAAAAUCAAAACAACUGAGAAUUCUUUUAAUAAUCCAGCACCAAUUCAUAUAAGGGCUUUCAUCAGAUUCAUUAAAUUUGGACUUGACUGUCUUUACAUUGAUGCUUUUUUGUACAGAUGUACAGAUACUGUCCAUGUUCUUGUAAGAAUUUGGGAGUACAUGGGCCGGGGAUUUAGCUCAGUGGUUUUGC
ensembl:lncRNA